rnacentral:rRNA from 1 species
GCUCAGGAUGAACGCUGGCGGCGUGCCUAAUACAUGCAAGUCGAACGAGUUCUCGUUGAUGAUCGGUGCUUGCACCGAGAUUCAACAUGGAACGAGUGGCGGACGGGUGAGUAACACGUGGGUAACCUGCCCUUAAGUGGGGGAUAACAUUUGGAAACAGAUGCUAAUACCGCAUAGAUCCAAGAACCGCAUGGUUCUUGGCUGAAAGAUGGCGUAAGCUAUCGCUUUUGGAUGGACCCGCGGCGUAUUAGCUAGUUGGUGAGGUAAUGGCUCACCAAGGCGAUGAUACGUAGCCGAACUGAGAGGUUGAUCGGCCACAUUGGGACUGAGACACGGCCCAAACUCCUACGGGAGGCAGCAGUAGGGAAUCUUCCACAAUGGACGCAAGUCUGAUGGAGCAACGCCGCGUGAGUGAAGAAGGCUUUCGGGUCGUAAAACUCUGUUGUUGGAGAAGAAUGGUCGGCAGAGUAACUGUUGUCGGCGUGACGGUAUCCAACCAGAAAGCCACGGCUAACUACGUGCCAGCAGCCGCGGUAAUACGUAGGUGGCAAGCGUUAUCCGGAUUUAUUGGGCGUAAAGCGAGCGCAGGCGGUUUUUUAAGUCUGAUGUGAAAGCCCUCGGCUUAACCGAGGAAGCGCAUCGGAAACUGGGAAACUUGAGUGCAGAAGAGGACAGUGGAACUCCAUGUGUAGCGGUGAAAUGCGUAGAUAUAUGGAAGAACACCAGUGGCGAAGGCGGCUGUCUGGUCUGUAACUGACGCUGAGGCUCGAAAGCAUGGGUAGCGAACAGGAUUAGAUACCCUGGUAGUCCAUGCCGUAAACGAUGAAUGCUAGGUGUUGGAGGGUUUCCGCCCUUCAGUGCCGCAGCUAACGCAUUAAGCAUUCCGCCUGGGGAGUACGACCGCAAGGUUGAAACUCAAAGGAAUUGACGGGGGCCCGCACAAGCGGUGGAGCAUGUGGUUUAAUUCGAAGCAACGCGAAGAACCUUACCAGGUCUUGACAUCUUUUGAUCACCUGAGAGAUCAGGUUUCCCCUUCGGGGGCAAAAUGACAGGUGGUGCAUGGUUGUCGUCAGCUCGUGUCGUGAGAUGUUGGGUUAAGUCCCGCAACGAGCGCAACCCUUAUGACUAGUUGCCAGCAUUUAGUUGGGCACUCUAGUAAGACUGCCGGUGACAAACCGGAGGAAGGUGGGGAUGACGUCAAAUCAUCAUGCCCCUUAUGACCUGGGCUACACACGUGCUACAAUGGAUGGUACAACGAGUUGCGAGACCGCGAGGUCAAGCUAAUCUCUUAAAGCCAUUCUCAGUUCGGACUGUAGGCUGCAACUCGCCUACACGAAGUCGGAAUCGCUAGUAAUCGCGGAUCAGCACGCCGCGGUGAAUACGUUCCCGGGCCUUGUACACACCGCCCGUCACACCAUGAGAGUUUGUAACACCCGAAGCCGGUGGCGUAACCCUUUUAGGGAGCGAGCCGUCUAAGGUGGGACAAAUGAUUAGGGUGAAGUCGUA